rnacentral:lncRNA from 1 species
CCCAAUGCCCACCUGGUCCUCCUCGUCCUCCUCGUCCGUCUCUGCUCCGCCCUCGUUGCCCGCCUGCGGCUGACCAAGCGCCAUGCCCGCUAGUCCCCCCAGCGGCACCUCAUCGUCGUUCACCUCCAGCUUCGCACGACAGUACUUGCGAACCCAUUUGGGAAAGUUCGCCCUGUAGUGCUGCUCCAGGUUGGUGAGGACGUCUUGAAGCAGGUGGUGCACCAGCUGCGACAGGAAACGACAGGGCAUAUGUCAAAGACAUGAGGCAUUCACGACCGCGGUCCCAGGGAGUGACCCGUACCUGGUGGUGCGCCGUGAUGUCGAUGGCCGGGCCACCCGUGUCCUCGCUCAGCAGCGGUGCAAAGUGCGCAUCGUAGAAAUGCGACAGGAGGCUUUGGCGUUGGCGACGAUGCGUGGACGUUGUGAUGAGCGCCGCGGACUCCUGCAGCAGGUUGAUGUCGAUGGUUGGCACACGCCGGUGGAAGACGUGCUGUUGUGGCGAGACGUCAGCCCGCUCGCGCACUGCGGGCAUUGGGAAGCAACCAGCAGGUCAAUCAUACCUGCGCAUAAUGCGCUCUAGCAUAAAGCGCUCUAGACUUAAUGCUUACGUCCUUGACGCCGCGCAGCCAGUCCGCACUGCUCCCGCCACUUGGUGUCGCAGACCGCGCAGUGGAAGGCGGGGUCCGUUCGGCAGACGACGAAGUGCCGCAGGAAGUCCAGCAGGCGGUACCGAAGGGGCGUGGCCACAAAAUCUACCUUGAACCUAAUUGCUGCGAGCGUUGCCUCGUCCUUGCAAACGCUUCGCAGCGACACCUUACGGGUGCUAUUUUUCUGAACCAUUAUGAACGUUAGGGGUGUGGGAGCCGGCCCACACCCCUAACACGGGCAAGGUUGGGCGGACGUCAGAAUUGUUUGGCCUGUGCUACGGCUACAAGGGUGCGAAGGGGAAAGUUUGAAGUUGGCAACUCUUCCUUUGUGGAAUCCGCGUGACAGGGCUGCUUUCCUUGCGACCUCGCGACCUCGCGAAAGUCAAGAUGUCCAUGGACUCGCGAGGUCGCUUCUCGCUCCAGCCGAGUUUUCCCUGCCGCCUAUUUUUCGCUGCACCAGCUGGAGAAAAGGAAGAAGCACUUGCAGCGUGACGGGGAUGGCAAUGCGCGGGAGGCAGUGGUGGAGCCGAUGUUGGAGCACAACACAGAAAGCAAGGGGUUAAGGGCAGCCUAUAAGAGCCCAUUCCGUCUCGCCUGCACACGCGCGCACAUCCCCUCCACCAUGUUACAGCUACACAAGCAACGAGUCGUGGUCUAGCUCGUGGACUGUCCCAUGAUCUCCCUGCACUAACUGUCAUACCGAUUACUAAUCAAUGCUCACGGCUUUACUACCGGCACAUGGAGUGACGAGGACGCCCUGGUGCCACACAAGUGCUGCAAGGAGCACCUCUUACACCAGUGACCUAAGGCAGAAACUUGUCCCAUUGCUCACUGCCGGUAUUGCUGUGUGCUAUCUUGCGCAGCGACCGCUUGCAUACCUGGACAGAACGCUCAGCCAAGUGCUCAAUACGAUAGGGUGCCCCAAUCUCAUGUGUCUUCCCACACAGAGCCUUAGUAAAGUUGCUUGUAGGCGAUCUGUUGGCCGGUGUUGAUGGGUGGUGUUGAUAAACACCGGUUUUGGGCGGAGGAGUCGACUAGGCCUUCUUGGCCCGGCACUUCUGGACUGAGGCCCGCUUCUUGCAGGUUUUGCACACGCCGCAGAUGCACGUGAUCCUGGCCGCCAAAAUGCAUGUGGGCCAUAAGCCAGACAGUCUGUCCCAGGUUACAUGCGUGCCCUGUACAGCCCAUGCAAACAACUCACCGCACAACAUCAUGCCCGUCCAGGUCCUCGAGCAAACGGCACAGCAGCUGGCUGGGGGAAGGCCCAAGGAGGAGGUCAUCGUCGGCUGGGGCAACGCCAACACUGGCCACGGCGGCUGCGUCAGCAGGUCAGGCGGGGGCUCUGGUCCUUGGCUCACUCAGCCACUCACUCACCCGGCCACUCGCUCAGCAACGCACUCACUCACCCACCUUCACUCACCCACUCACCUUCACCCACUCACUCACUUACUUCGCAAUUCAGGUCAGGCAGGGGCCCAAACCGGGCGCUGCUGCGACUGCUGGUGGACAAGUACGCCCACCUGGUGGUCUACGUGGACGAGUACUACACCAGCCAGGUACGCUGUGAUCUUCACAAAGCAAUGCGCACAACGCUCAAUGCACACGUACCUUACCUGGCCCAAACCUAUCUCUGUGUCUGAGCAGGUGUGUGCGAAGUGCGGACGGCGCCUGCUUGGUAACGGGCAGCGCUGCCUGGAAGUUGUGAUUCCGUU